UGAUACUUAAAAGCGAUUCACGAAAUAGCCUUUUUCCCUGACUGUUUUCACCUUUUUCAACAGAAUGAGCUUCAAAGAGGGAUAGCAGUGAUUUAAAGUAGCAGAGUCUUAAUUAAAAGAAGAUAUGUUACAGUUAUCACCGAGUUCUACCACAACUUUAUCUAUUGCAAUCUUUGGGGAUAGCAAAAAAUCAAAAGCGCUGUGCCUACAUCUUCGACACCUUUUUAGAAUGGUUGAAAAAAUUGACGGAAUAUCUUUCAAGUGCAUCGAAAAUUUACCGAAUUCUUAUACUGAAUUUUUUUAUGACUACU